GACCGCGUAGCUCAGUUGGAAGAGCCAAGAUUGGGCUAGUAUUCCAAAGGUCGUAGGUUCGAAUCCCACCGUGGCCG
rnacentral:tRNA from 1 species